rnacentral:lncRNA from 1 species
AGGUGUUCACUCGUUUCUGCGAUGGUUUAAACAAGGUUGAGCUCGCUAUAAAGUCGCAAGGCUACGGUUUUAUGUGGAAUCAACAUUUGGGCUUCAUCCUCACGUGCCCGUCAAAUUUAGGGACGGGCCUGCGAGCGGGUGUACACGUCAAACUCGCACAUCUCUGCAAAGAUUCUCGUUUCGACCUCAUUUUGUCGACGCUGCGUCUACAACGGCGCGGGACGGGGGGUGUGGACACCGAGAGCACGGACGGCGUGUUCGACAUAUCGAAUCUGGACAGGAUCGGUACCUCGGAGGUGGAACAAUGUCAGAUUGUGAUCAGCGGAGUCAAGUUGUUGGUUGAAAUGGAGAAGAGACUCGAGGCUGGCCAGACUAUUGACGAUUUGUUGACAAACAACAAUAAUAAUAACCAAUAAACAAGAUUCGAAACUUUUUCAUGAACAUUCCAGAUGCAUGCCUGCUGAGCUUUUGAUUUAGGACGAAACGAUGUUUUCGUAGGUUCCAAGUCUGGGAAUCUCGCAGGUUUAACUGUAUAUAAAAUAUGUAUCAUAUAAAUGAAACUGUAUAUACACGGAUACACAAUCUAUAAAUGUGCAGUAUAUGAAGU